ACCGGCGGCUCGAGUGGUGGCCACUAUUACUGGGCUUAAAGCGUUCGUAGCUGGCUUGUUAAGUCUCUGGGGAAAUCUUCCGGCUCAACCGGAAGGCGUCUCCGGGAUACUGGCAGGCUAGGGACCGGAAGAGGUGAGGGGUACUCCAGGGGUGGGGUUGAAAGCGUGUAAUCCUGGGGGGACAACCGGUGGGGAAGGCGUCUCACCAGGACGGCUCCGAGAGUGAGGGACGAAAGGUGGGGAGCAAACCG
rnacentral:rRNA from 1 species